rnacentral:rRNA from 1 species
CUACGGGAGGCACCAGUGAGGAAUUUUGCGCAAUGGGGGAAACCCUGACGCAGCAACGCCGCGUGAGUGAAGAAGGCUUUCGGGUCGUAAAGCUCUGUCAGAUAGGAAAAAAGUUCAUAUGUAAAUAGCUUAUGAAUCUGAUGGUACUAUCAGAGGAAGCACCGGCUAACUCCGUGCCAGCAGCCGCGGUAAUACGGAGGGUGCAAGCGUUGUUCGGAAUUACUGGGCGUAAAGGGCGUGUAGGCGGGAUGGUAAGUCAGAUGUGAAAGCCCUGGGCUUAACUCAGGAAGUGCAUUUGAUACUGCCAUCCUUGAGUAUGGGAGAGGAGAGUAGAAUUCCCAGUGUAGAGGUGAAAUUCGUAGAUAUUGGGAGGAAUACCCGUGGCGAAGGCGACUCUCUGGACCAAUACUGACGCUGAGACGCGAAAGCGUGGGGAGCAGAUAGGAUUAGAUACCCGGGUAGUC